rnacentral:rRNA from 1 species
AGAGUUUGAUCCUGGCUCAGAUUGAACGCUGGCGGAAUGCUUUACACAUGCAAGUCGAACGGCAGCACGGACUUCGGUCUGGUGGCGAGUGGCGAACGGGUGAGUAAUAUAUCGGAACGUGCCCAGUCGUGGGGGAUAACGUAGUGAAAAUUACGCUAAUACCGCAUACGAUCUAUGGAUGAAAGCGGGGGACUCGCAAGAGCCUCGCGCGAUUGGAGCGGCCGAUAUCAGAUUAGGUAGUUGGUGAGGUAAAGGCUCACCAAGCCCGCGAUCUGUAGCUGGUCUGAGAGGACGACCAGCCACACUGGAACUGAGACACGGUCCAGACUCCUACGGGAGGCAGCAGUGGGGAAUUUUGGACAAUGGACGCAAGUCUGAUCCAGCCAUUCCGCGUGCAGGAUGAAGGCCCUCGGGUUGUAAACUGCUUUUGUACGGAACGAAAAGGUCUCUCCUAAUACGAGGGGCUCAUGACGGUACCGUAAGAAUAAGCACCGGCUAACUACGUGCCAGCAGCCGCGGUAAUACGUAGGGUGCAAGCGUUAAUCGGAAUUACUGGGCGUAAAGCGUGCGCAGGCGGUUAUAUAAGACAGAUGUGAAAUCCCCGGGCUCAACCUGGGAACUGCAUUUGUGACUGUAUAGCUAGAGUACGGUAGAGGGGGAUGGAAUUCCACGUGUAGCAGUGAAAUGCGUAGAUAUGCGGAGGAACACCGAUGGCGAAGGCAAUCCCCUGGACCUGUACUGACGCUCAUGCACGAAAGCGUGGGGAGCAAACAGGAUUAGAUACCCUGGUAGUCCACGCCCUAAACGAUGUCAACUGGUUGUUGGGUCUUAACUGACUCAGUAACGAAGCUAACGCGUGAAGUUGACCGCCUGGGGAGUACGGCCGCAAGNUGAAACUCAAAGGAAUGACGGGGACCCGCACAAGCG